rnacentral:rRNA from 1 species
GAUGAACGCUGGCGGCGUGCUUAACACAUGCAAGUCGAACGGAAAGGCCCAAGCUUGCUUGGGUCCUCGAGUGGCGAACGGGUGAGUAACACGUGGGUGAUCUGCCCUGCACUUCGGGAUAAGCCUGGGAAACUGGGUCUAAUACCGGAUAGGACCACAUUCUGGAUGGUGUGGUGGAAAGUUUUUCGGUGUGGGAUGAGCUCGCGGCCUAUCAGCUUGUUGGUGGGGUAAUGGCCUACCAAGGCGUCGACGGGUAGCCGGCCUGAGAGGGUGUACGGCUACAUUGGGACUGAGAUACGGCCCAGACUCCUACGGGAGGCAGCAGUGGGGAAUAUUGCACAAUGGGCGCAAGCCUGAUGCAGCGACGCCGCGUGGGGGAUGACGGCCUUCGGGUUGUAAACUGCUUUCGCUAGGGACGAAGCGCAAGUGACGGUACCUGGAGAAGAAGCACCGGCUAACUACGUG